UACGAAGGGGGCUAGCGUUGCUCGGAAUCACUGGGCGUAAAGGGUGCGUAGGCGGGUCUUUAAGUCAGGGGUGAAAUCCUGGAGCUCAACUCCAGAACUGCCUUUGAUACUGAAGAUCUUGAGUUCGGGGAGAGGUGAGUGGAACUGCGAGUGUAGCGGUGAAAUGCGUAGAUAUCGGGGAGGAAUACCAGUGGCGAAGGCGGCCUUCUCGGACGGAUACGUGACGCUGAGGCGCGAAAGCCAGGGAGCAAAGCGGG
rnacentral:rRNA from 1 species